rnacentral:rRNA from 1 species
UACGAAGGGGGCUAGCGUUGCUCGGAAUCACUGGGCGUAAAGCGCACGUAGGCGGCUUUCUAAGUCAGGGGUGAAAUCCUGGAGCUCAACUCCAGAACUGCCUUUGAUACUGGAGAGCUUGAGUCCGGGAGAGGUGAGUGGAACUCCGAGUGUAGAGGUGAAAUUCGUAGAUAUUCGGAAGAACACCAGUGGCGAAGGCGGCUCACUGGCCCGGUACUGACGCUGAGAAGCGAAAGCGUGGGGAGCGAACAGG